ACAGGAAAAUGUGGAGGCCAUCUCGGUCAUUCUCUACAGGGGUAGAAACAAUGACCCUGGAUCCUUUGGCCCUUUUCCCUCAGCCCAUUCAGUGGGGCAGGAAGCGGAUCUGGACGGAGCUAUUGGAUGGAGAGCUGACCUUCACCCACCACCCCACGUGUUCCCUGCUCUCAAUGAAGACAGAACGGACCCUGAGGACCACAUUCCACAGAGCCGGGAGCUAAGCCAGAGCCCUGGGCCACUGAAGUCACUGAUGAAACACAUAAAUAGGAUCUUGUUUCUGGGGCCUUCCUUCCUCCCAAAACAUGAGGAACCUGGAUGUUGGGGUUUCCUUGGGUGGGGCUUACAAGUUAAAUCUGGCCUAAACCCCACUGAGUAAACUGCACAGUAACUUAAUAUUAAUCAAAGGGCAACCAAACAGAGACCACAUUCCUGGAACAAGUAACCAAGCCUCAGCCAAUCCCAGCGCUGCGCUUCAGCCAAUUACAAGCUACCAACUGCUCAGACAUGCCAAAGGCGGCCACGUGGACCAACCUCUGGACCAACCGAGCUGUUUCUGCUAUUUGGUUCCUUUUCUGUCUAUUGCUACCUGCCCAUGCAUCUGGGUGGAGCUCUCUAAAGCUUCACCACUGCAGGAUGUGGUCCAAUUCAUGAAUUGUUAUUUUGCUCAAAUAAACUCUACAAAAUU